UGUUAAAGGGACACAGAGACACGGAGAGCCGUGUGAACAUGGACAGACAGCAGCAAGGCUUCCAACACACUGGGACAGGGGCCUGGGACGCCCCUCCAACCUCAGAGGAACGCCUGCCGUCCCCAGAGCUCAGACCUCUGGCCUGCAUGACUGUGAGCCCUUCCCCAAAGCCUGCGCUGUGAUGCAGCCUUGCUGAGUGCGCUUUUGUCUCUCGUGUCCCCGAGGGCCCACACCAGCAGUCCUGAUCCCUCCUCUCCUGCACAUGGGCUGGUAUACAGCAGGUGCUCAGCAACACGGCACCUGGCCUCAGCCCUGCAGCUUGCUUUUCCUUCCCUCCCUCUCUCACGCACGCUCUGAUUCUGUCUCUGUGCAGGCACCAAGUCCCUCCAGCGGGCCAGCAAACCCAAGCCUGGUUCUGCGGGAGUCACUUCUGGGAUCAGGCCUGGGUCCUCUACCUCAUUUGGUCCCUGGGACUGAAUGACCUCUCCUCUCUCCUGGUUUCUCUGUGAUGCAAACAUGUUGCUGAGUCCAUGAAGGACUGAGUUCCUGGGCAGCUGGAAUGGUGGGGAAACUCCCAAGAGAGCACCGGUCCCUUCCGUCCACCUGCAGGACUCAGGACUUCCACCCAGCUGGGGUUCCACACCUUCUUUCUAGACCAGGUCCCAGCAGGCAACCAAUGGGACUGCAGUGUGGGCCACGCGCUGACCUCACUGCCAGUGGCUGCUGUCCCGUGUGGGAGACUCCAGAAUGGACACUUUGAAUGCCCCAGAGACGCAGCGUGCUCUGGAUGCCCCAGGGUGCAUGGGAGACCCCA